rnacentral:tRNA from 1 species
UGUAGCUUAAGAGGUAGAGCACUCGCCUAGCAAGCGUGAGGCUCUGAGUUCAAUCCUCAGCA